rnacentral:lncRNA from 1 species
UGAGUGUGCACGUGUGUGUGUGUGUGUGUGUAUGGUUGUUUGUGUUUUGAAAUUAUCAUGCUUGUAUGUACAAUACAAUGGUUACAUGUGGGUCAUACAUAUACAUAUUUUUCUAAUUUUUCAAAGCUAUUAUUAUGAAACGUUCAAUUAUAUUAUUCUAAAGUCGACAGGCUUAAAUCCCAACUAAAAGUUAAAAGCCAAAUCGCUCCCUUUAUCUCUUGUUUGGUUUACCUUUGAAACUUUCCAUGAUUCCUCAAACAGUUAUUGGUUAACACAAUAAAAGAUCAAGCCGAAAUUCAGUUCAAUAAUCCCAUGACUUUCAACCGGCAAUUGACUCGAACAAUAAUGUGUACGGAUAUGUCCUAGGUGAGGGGGAUCAUAGGUCGUCUUGUCCUGUUGAACUAGCACAAAAUCAAACGUAUCGUAUUGGUCAAGAACAAAGUAUGGUUUUAUAUUCAUUUCAUUUCAUUACGUUCUCGUCCUGAAAUGCAAGUAAUAUUUGCCUAUGGACUUUAAACAGCAACCAACUUUCAUCAUCCAGAUAAAUGUUUGCUUUUUUGUCCUUUUUUAUUUUAUCCAUAAUAGAAAAAAGAAGAUGUGGUAGGACGUCCAUGCACUGACACAACUCUCCACCAGAGACCAAAUGACAAAGAAGUUAAAAUCCCAAGGUCACAGUAUGCCCUUCAACAAUGAGAAAAACUCAUAUCACAUAGUCGGCUAUAAACAAAACCGGCUAUAAGUCAGCUAUAUUGAGAACAUUGGCUUUUACUGUUGAUAGGAUUUUUAAAUAUACAAGAAGAUGUGGUAUGAGUGCCAACUUUAUCAUCCAAGUCACAUAUUUGUAAAAGUAAACCAUUAUAGGUCAAAGUACGGUCUUCAACACGGAGCCUUGGCUCACACCGAACAACAGGCUCUAAAGGGAGCCAACGGUCUAAUUUAUAUAAAUACAAAAAGAGAAACGAGAAACACUUAUGAACCACAUGAACAAACAACAACCACUGAACAUCAGGUUCCUGACUAUAACAGGGGCAAUCGCAUGCAGCGGGUUUAAACAUUUUAAUAGGUACCAACCUUUACUCUUACCUAACACAAUAGUGUAACAU